rnacentral:lncRNA from 10 species
CACAGAUCAGACACACACAAGCAAACACACACACCACAGAUGCGAGCACACAGAUCAGACACACACAAGCAAACACACACACCACAGAUGCGAGCACACAGAUCACACACGCAAACACACACACCACAGAUGCACGCACACAGAUCAGACACACACAUGCAAACACACACACCACAGAUGCACACACACAGAUCAGACACACACGCAAACACACACACCACAGAUGCACACACACAGAGAUCACACAUGCACACACAUGCAUACACAUUCACACACAUAGAAAUCACAGACACACACACAUGCAGAGAUCAUAUGCGUACAGUGAGAUCAUACACACACAGAUCACACACACAUACACAUGCACACACAAUCAUACACACGCAGGUGCACAUGCAGACACACAGCCUCCUGCCUUUCAAUCUUCCUUUUUGUGACGACUUGCAGCUCUAAGAGUUGGGGAAGUGAAGAGAUGCCUGCAGGACGGCGUGCAGAGGGGAAGGAGGGUGCUGCCCCUGCGCUGGGACACAGCAAGCUGGUGGCAAC